CCCUUAGAUGUUCUGGGCCGCACGCGUGCUACACUGAGUGGAUCAGCGGGUCAGGUUGCGCGAAAGCGUUUCCUAAUCUUUAAAUCCGCUCGUGAUGGGGAUUGACGGUUGCAAUUUUCUGUCAUGAACGAGGAAUACCUUGUAAGCGCGGGUCAUCAUCCCGCGCUGAAUACGUCCCUGCCGUUUGUACACACCGCCCGUCGCUCCUACCGAUUGAGUGGUCCGGUGAGGCUUUGGGAUCUGAGCGGAAAGAGCGUUUCGCUGUUUCUGCUCGGAAAACUCAGUCGAACCUUAUCAUUUAGAGGAAGGAGAAGUCGUAACA
rnacentral:rRNA from 1 species